rnacentral:piRNA from 1 species
UGUCAAUGAACUGGAGCACAUGGAAAGU